rnacentral:rRNA from 1 species
GACGAACGCUGGCGGCGUGCUUAACACAUGCAAGUCGAACGAUGAAGAAGAGAAACGCGAACUUCGGUUCAAAUUUCACUUCGGAUUAGUGGCAGACGGGUGAGUAACGCGUGAGCAACCUACCUCUUACAAAGGGAUAGCCUCGGGAAACCGUGAUUAAUACCAUAUGACACAUUCAUAAGGCAUCUUAAGAAUGUUAAAGCUACGGCGGUAAGAGAUGGGCUCGCGUCCCAUUAGCUAGUUGGUGAGGUAACGGCCCACCAAGGCGACGAUGGGUAACCGGCCUGAGAGGGUGAACGGUCACAUUGGAACUGAGACACGGUACAAACUCCUACGGGAGGCAGCAGUGGGGAAUAUUGCACAAUGGAGGGAACUCUGAUGCAGCGACGCCGCGUGAGCGAUGAAGGAAUUCGUUUCGUAAAGCUCUGUUCUAUGGGAAGAAAAGGACUGUACCAUAGGAGAAAGCCCCGGCUAAAUACGUG